UACGGAGGGUGCAAGCGUUGUCCGGAAUCACUGGGCGUAAAGGGCGCGUAGGCGGCUCAUGAAGGCUGUGGUGAAAGUCCGGGGCUCAACCUCGGAUCGGCCGUGGCGACUCGUGGGCUGGAGCACUGUAGAGGCGGGUGGAAUUCCGGGUGUAGCGGUGGAAUGCGUAGAGAUCCGGAAGAACACCAGUGGCGAAGGCGGCCCGCUGGGCCGUUACUGACGCUGAGGAGCGAAAGCGUGGGGAGCGAACAGG
rnacentral:rRNA from 1 species